ACAUCUCUAACAAGUUGGUUUUUUCUCUCAGCGUUUUAUUUGGGGAAAGAAGAGUAUAGUUAUUUGGGCUUUUGACAUCCUUAUUUUGUGGAAAGGAACACUAGGGCCUCUGAAUUCAAAGUUUAUUUAGUGGAGGUGCUUUGGAGGAGGAUUAUCUUGCUUACCCCUUUUUGGGUGAUCUUUAUCAAAGAGUUUGAAGGGAUUUCACUUAUGAUCAUUAUAGCGGAUUGGGGAGUGUUGGGACUGUAUAUUAUCAGAUCUACCUCUUUGGGCUUUGAUGGUCGCUGUAUGGGUACCCAGGACAGAUGGGUGUUGGUGUAGCCUUUACAAACCAAAGGAAGGGCAUUAUGCUGGCUUUGUUUAAAACAAUGACCAGUUUAUCAGCCAUUUAGUCAAGAUAUUAUCCCUUUUUGAAGAGUUAUGGAGGUCUUUAUUUUGUGUUGAGCAAUUUUUAUGGUUGUGGGUGAAUCUUUUGUGCUCAUUACCUAGACCUCUAGGAAUAGAAGCAGGGCACCCUGCAGAUAUGGUCGCUUUUUACAAUGCAAAUUUUGAACAUUCCAUGAAAUCCUAGGUCUCCAUAGUUGGAUUCCUAGAUUUUGAAUCUCCAAUGAAAUCCUAAGGUUUGUUUUUUCAGAUCCCUAGAAUUUCACUUGGGUGGCAGAAAAUCUUGCAAAAGCAAGGAGGACAUGGAUUCUUCAUUUUUGUAAGGGUAACUAUAAUCCUCCUUGUUGGAGGCCCAUGGUUUGUCCUCUUUUUUUUUUUUUUGCUUUUUUUGUUUUUUUUCUUUAAACUUCUUUGUUAGUCUACAAAUAUCGUGAUUGAAGGCCUUGGUUUUUCUUUUUCUUUUUCCUUUUUCAAUUGCAUUGUUAUUGUAUGGAUAUCUAUUUGUGUUGGCUUUAGGACUGUUCAUUCUUUCCGUUUUAAAUUGUUAUUCUUGCAUUGUUAUGUUAUGCUUCUUAUAAAAUGAAAGUGUUUAUGCUUCCACAUUUCACAAUAUACAUGCUUCUGAACCUUUUUUUGUCUGAUCUUGGGUAUACGAAAAAGUAGUCUACUUUUCAGCAAUAUGAUGCUGGUAAGAAAGGAAAUUAUCAGACUUGAUGUAACAUUGUCUUCUGGUUUAUCUUGGCAAAGUUUCUUUCUACCAUCCUAAGGCCUUGCAAACAUUUUAGGAAUUGCCAUUGUUCCUCCCACUCUUCCAUGUAUUUAAGUGAUGAAGAAUAAGAUAUUUUAAAUGCAACCGCUUGUGGUGAUCCAACCCAUUUGAUAAGAUAAUUUACAUUUAGUGUUGAGCCCCCAACUGUCCUUUUUCACAAGAACACUAUCCUUUCAAUCUUGGUUUUCUUUGUUUUUUUUCAGAUUCUGGAUGUGUGUGCAUACUUUUAGGAGCCUACAUCACUUAUGCCUCUCCUAAUACCUUGAGGGUUCCAUUUCUUUGCUUGUUGGGAGAUUAGUUAUUGACUUUUUUCAUCUUUAUAACCUUUAUUCACCCUACUGUUCUAUAAAGAGCCACUUCACAGACAGACAACUGGCAGUCAUUCCCAAUUUAUUCUCAGGUGCAAAAUAACUGAGGCACAUCAAAAGAACAUAGAGAUUUUUGUUGCUUUGACACAUUUCUAUGACCAUGCAGCUUUUUCGUUAUUGUGUUCCUUUUUUAUUGAGCAAUAAUACAUAUGAAAUCAGUACAAAGGGGGCAUAAGCAACUACACAUAGAUCACUCAAGAUGGGGAAAAACAAGAGUAGGCCAGGCCAAGAGGCCUUAUGUUGGCCCCACCAUAGCAAUGAAAUCAAGCAAUGUCAAACUAUCCUCCCCAAAGGAAAUCCUUAGACCAAGGAAACAAAGAUUUCAAGAUUAAGUCUUCCAUAAUCAACACAAACAACUCCAUCCCAUUGGAAGUUCUCCAGUUCCAUUCCUUUGAGAUGCACCAAAAUCAGCUGACAGAUCCCUCUUGCUGUCUCCUGCACAAGAACCUUGCCAACUGCUCUAAGACCCUUUGAAAGAAGGAGGCAACUCCCAAGAAAUUGGAUGGGAAAAAAAUGCUAGUAAGCAAUGGGGCACCAAGCAAUGCAUAUGGAUGUGAUCAUCUGUCAGGGCCCAUAUUCACUUAUGUAUCCCUAAAUGAGGGAUGCCACUAAUCUUGUUGAUUGUGGCAGUGAUUAUUGAGGUGAAUGACAUUUCAAUAGUGAUGAUUUUAUUUCUUCUGUUCUGAUGCCAAUUGUUUAUCUUUCAAAUAACUUGCAGUAAAAAAUUGACAGUGUCCUCAUCUUCUUCAAUUGA